AUUGAACGCUGGCGGCAGGCCUAACACAUGCAAGUCGAAUGGUAACAGGAAACAGCUUGCUGUUUCGCUGACGAGUGGCGGACGGGUGAGUAAUGUCUGGGAAACUGCCUGAUGGAGGGGGAUAACUACUGGAAACGGUAGCUAAUACCGCAUAACGUCGCAAGACCAAAGAGGGGGACCUUCGGGCCUCUUGCCAUCAGAUGUGCCCAGAUGGGAUUAGCUAGUAGGUGGGGUAACGGCUCACCUAGGCGACGAUCCCUAGCUGGUCUGGGAGGAUGACCAGCCACACUGGAACUGAGACACGGUCCAGACUCCUACGGGAGGCAGCAGUGGGGAAUAUUGCACAAUGGGCGCAAGCCUGAUGCAGCCAUGCCGCGUGUAUGAAGAAGGCCUUCGGGUUGUAAAGUACUUUCAGCGGGGAGGAAGGGAGUAAAGUUAAUACCUUUGCUCAUUGACGUUACCCGCAGAAGAAGCACCGGCUAACUCCGUG
rnacentral:rRNA from 1 species